GGCACAACUCUCUGACAGGAGAUCAUUGUCAUCUCCCUUCAUUGAAGUGCAUUUCCUAGAUUCUCAUACCUUCCAACACUUCUCCGAUGAAAACAAGGCUGUCCUAUUCCAUAGUAAUAAUAAUAAUAAUAAUAAUAAUAAUAAUAAUUUUAUUGAUACCCUGCCUAUCUGACUGGGUGGCUUCCAACAUAUGCUGUGCUUUUUUCCAGGGGGUAUUUAGGGGGUACCUGUUUAGUGCUGUGGGGUUUUUCCUUUGUUUGUUCUGGAGGAAAGGCUUCUUAGUGAUGUGAACGCUUCAGUGAUUCAUAAAGUCACCCUUUUUGCUUUGGUGGCAAAAAAGCCCAGAAAGAAGACCCUGGACAAUAUAGCAGUGAAGUGUAAGGGAGACACAGAGAUCUAAAUAGAGAUCAUUAUUUGUGGUGUGACACUCCUUUUGCUUGUAUUUAUUUUUUAUUCAUAUUUGUAAUGGUCAGUGGCCAUAAACUUAUUUGGAAUUGGAAAAAUUGGGUACACUGUGAUGGGGGUGUUUUCAAUUGUACCUAUCUCUACGUGCACCUAUUGUUUCAUCUCGUCUUCUAGGAUGUAUGGGAUUAUGUGGCGCACUUGGUUGGCUAUGUAGUUCUAUAUUGGGAAUUCCCCAUCCUCCUUCUGAGGAGGGGAGGUGCAGUUAUUUGGGACUUAUUUUUUGUUUUUUUAUGUGAGAAAAUAAAUGAGUGUAGUUUUUUCCUGCCAUUUAUGGAGUUGGUUUUUGGGGGAAUCCAAAUUCCCCCCAAAAUAGGUUUGAAAUAGGUUAGUUUUGGGAGGGUGAUCAUUUUGAUAAUGACUAUUUUGUCUAAGAGGGUGAAGUUGUAUUGUUUCACAUCUUUGUUAAUUUCUCACCACAGGGGGUUGUGAAGGUAUAAUUUGUUGAGAUUUCUGGUUAUUUGUACCCCUAAAUAUCUGAAUUUAAUGUGGCAGAGUUUUAUCUGUGUGAUGUUGGUGAAUUCUUUUUGGAUAUAAGGGGGAGUGUUGAAGCACAUAGCUUAAGAUUUUGCAAAGUUCACCUGUAGGCCUGACACCACUGCAAAUGUGUUGAGUUAUUUGGUUAGGAUGAUUGCUGUGUUUAUGGGGUCUGAUGUCGUGACCAUCAGGUUGUAUGUGAAGAGCCGUUGUUUAUAGGUUUUGCCUUUUUUUAUUUCCACUCCCUUGAUGUUGGGGGCUGCCCAGAGUUUUUGGUUGCUUUAAGUUUUGAUUCAUCAAGGUUUUAUAGCUACCACUCUAUUAAAAUCAUGCUCUAAAUAAGGGGACGCACGUUUGACUAUGAAUCCCUUAUCUGGAGGCUGGUGCUGCACAAAAUUAAUUUGACACUAGUCUGCAGUCGCCCCAAAGGCCGUGAAAACUGUUUUGCAAAGGCUGGAGAAUGUUCUAAAAAGCGCAUCGGAUUUUCCAUUAACGUUGUUCUGACUUCACAUACGGCACAUGCUUCUAAAAUAAAACCUUUGCUUCUGUUUUGUUUUUGUUUAAAUAGGUAAUUUGAUAUAAACAAUUAAAGACAGAUGUUGCUUGGGCGCAUUUGCGUGGAGACCAGUGGGGACCUUCAGCACAGAGCAAAUCAUGUUCCUCAAGAAGGCCUUAAAAGGCAAGUGAGCAGAGUCAGAGCAAAAUUAUCGCUGGGGGUUGGGUAGCGGUGAGUGGAGGAUGGGAGUAAUUUUAGCAUUGAUAGAUCAUCAUGUGCCUUUGCAAAGGUGGAUGAAUGCAAGAUAUUCCCUCAUCCUGCUGCUUUCUGGAAGUUCAAACACUCGCCUCCUUAGCCCAUUUCUCAGUCUUACCCUGCAGUCCCAAUCGUUCUGACCACAUUGCAGUGAGUCAACCACAUUGCGUACGGUGGGACUUAAUUCUGAGCAAGCCUGCUCAGGAUUGUGCUGUGAAUUAGGCAGCGUUGUCCUCAUUCCUCUGCACCACCAGCUCAGCUCCCAUUGCCUUGUCAGUGCUCCUGGGCUUGUAACAGCUCUGUGUUUUCUACAGGCACAGCCCAUACCAACAGCUGGCUGGCCACCAUUCCAGUCUACCAAAAACUGGACUGCCGAACCAUCCCUCCAGAGGUUGCUGGAAUCCAGCUCGCAUAAUGCAGCCAAUGAUGAGGGAGACUGAAGCCAAGCAACAUCUGAAGGUUCCCUAUCCUUGGCCAAAAACUGUACCUUCUGGCCAAGAGGUUAGCAUGCCAUGCCCAGGGAUGAGGCGGGUGGCACAAAUGUUGGGUGAUGCUUUGUACAUUAUAGGCAGGUUUCCCAAACAACCAUCGUGGCAGACUCUCCUUCCUUGGAGGUUUCUGAACAGAGGUUGCGUGGCCAUCUGUCAGGGAUCCUUUAGCUGUGAUUCCUGCAUUGCAGGGGGUUGGACUAGAUGGCCCCUGGGACCCCUUCCCACUCUGCACUCCUAUGUUUCCAUAAAAGAACCCCACCCCACCCUGUCUUUCCCUGCACCUAUGAAUUUAACAGCACUUUCAUACACAGAAAUCAGUCAAUGAUGCAUCAGCAGCAGGCCCCAUUAGCUGUAAAAUUAACACAGCAUAGCUAAAUUUUAUCACUUGCUAAUUGCUGCAGGUAAAAUGUAUGUUAAAGUGGUGGAGGGCUUGUCAAAAGGCUGGCAACCCCCGUUCUUCAGGCCUCCAUCCUGGCUCCAAAUAAUUCCUGCUGGGGUGAUUAUACCCCUCACUCUCUCGCUCAACAAUACUGCGUGGCAGGGGAGGGAAUGACUCAGAAUUUGUUGGAAUCUUCCUGGGCUUUCUGGGUGCUGUUAAGCGCUGAAUGAGGCAUCACUUUCACGAGGGCACUAAUUGAAUUAAGAACGCCUGGGGGUGCCGAGCCAAACACCUCCAGCCAGGUUCUCCACCUUUUCAGGGCUCCAGCUCAUGUUAGAUUUCUUUGCUGAUGAGGAAAAGCUGUGCCUGUUGGAUUUCUGCCUGCCCUCCAGAUAUGAAAAGCAGGGGUGGCCAACCCUUUUCAUCCCAAGAACUGCCCACAUUCAUCCUUGACCAGCCCUCGAGGGCAGAGGUCAGCAAACUUUUUCAGCAGGGGGCUGGUCCACUGUCCCUCAGACCAUGUGGGAGGCAGGACUAUAUUUUGGGGGUGGGAGGAAUGAACAAAUUCCCAUGCCCCACAAAUAACCCAGAGAUGCACUUUAAAUAAAAGGACACAUUCUACUCAUGUAAAAACACGCUGAAUUUAGCGUGGGCUGGAUUUAGAAGGCGAUUGGGCAGGAUCCGGCCCCUGGGCCUUAGUUUGCCUACCCAUGCUCUAGGGGCUGUGUGCCAGCAGUGGGUGCGGCCAAAAGUGGGUGAGGCCACCCCACCCACAGGCUCUUGCACUCAAGCGCUGACUCAUGUGCACGUCCGUGUGCCAUGAACCCACACACCCCCGCCCACGUCACAGUUAAAGUCUUUCCAGAAACAAAGGGGGCAUGCAGCCCUUGUUGCACGAUGGGCUAGUCAGACGAGGAGGCAUGAAAAGAGCCUUGCUUUUCUCCUGGAGUUGCUACUUUUCUACCAGCCAGAGGAAGAGUGGCCUUUUUCAGCAGCUUGAUGCACAGCCAUUCAGGGCUUAUCUCUACCAAGUGAAAUCUUUCACAGGCUGAUUUCCGCAUAGCUGCUGACAAAGGCUGCAAAGGUAACCCAGAACAGCUUAAUUUUAUUCCAGGAGCGUAGCGUGGAUUGCUGACACCCGGGAUAGGGCAGGUAUUGCACACGCCCCCCGGUGGACUGGGUAACGGUCAGUCUUUUCACUGGCCAGCUAGUUCUGCAUAGCUGCUGGUAAAGGCCACAAGAGUAACCCAGAACAGCUUAAUUUUAUUUCAGGAGCGUAGCAUGGAUUGCUGAUACCCAGGGUGGGGCAGGUGUUGUACCCCCUUGGUGGUCUGGGCAAUGGUCAGUCUCUUCACUGGCCAGCGUCUAAUCAAGGGAGUCUCUCCUUGCAAACUAGCCCUAACCUGGAGAUAAAGCAGAGAAAUGCGAAACCGACCCAGAAACGGGCUGCAGGUGAGUGUCCUUUCGCCAGCCACGAGUAGGUGGAGGUGCCACCGCAGUCCUGAAGACCUGCCUGAGCGCAGCUUGCCUCCCUGUGCCUCUGGCCUGGAUGAGGGAGCCUGUCAUGGGGGCGCCUGGUUUCGCUCGGGGCCAUGACCCCCCUGCCUCCCCUGCUACACCACUGUUUAUUCUAUUUUUCUGGAGAGUUCCUUCAGGCUUUUAAAGCACCAAGCCAGGUGUGUGGGAAGCAAUCCUUUGGGGUCCCUGGUUCCUGUCUUUGUUCUUCCUUUUGACUGUCACUUUCAAAGGUAGCACCAGCAGGGGAGCUUCAGGCAAUGCAAAGGAAC